rnacentral:lncRNA from 1 species
CCUCAGUUUCCUCUCAGGCGCAGAGAGAGCUCAGCCCUCCACUCUGUAAAUGCAGCUGUAAUAAAGCUCCUCCUGUGUUUCUCAGUGUGGAAAUUGGGAAUGAACAAACAAUACCAAACACGCAGGCAUGUCACGACCCUUUCUUAGCCUGUUGGGAUUACAUCGUGUGGCACACAAGUGUUCACUGGUGCAACUAGAAAUGUGUGAAUAUUCUUGGCAUUUGCAGACAUCUCAGAGUGUUUUGAACCUGAAGGACUCUUUCAAGCCUCUGCUUUUAUGAACUUUUAUGAACAACAAACUGAAAGGUUUCCUGUGACCUGGAGGAGGGGUUAGGAUACAUGCUUUGGCCAUCAAGACAGAAAACCCAGCUCUUCAAUGUCAACAGGAAAGUUUCAACUCCUUUAUCCACAAAAAUAAUUUAAUUUUCUUAUGAAAAGGAAAUCUACUGUCUUUGCUUCUUCUCCGCCUCUACCGCUUCUCUGCAGGUGUCCCUGACCUCCAUGCAGAGCAGGGGGAUGAGGCAGGAUUCUCAGAACUGAACUUUCCACACACAAGUUGUGACUGUGUUCACAGAGUUGAAGUCCAAGUCCCCUCCUUUGCUGCUGCCUGACCUACCUCCAGCUUUGUCAGCCUGGUGAAGACAUCCUUCAUUCAUGGUGCUCCCUUAUUCAUGUGUCAAAUAUCUCCAAGAUUUGCUCCACUAUUUGACAGGAUGUAAUUAAUGCAGGGGUGAGCUUGGCCCAACACACCUAAAUAUUAGUUUAUGUUCCUACUUCUACAGUAGCAUUAGUAGAAGGCCCACAUCCAUGUAAAUACCAGCAUUCUCUCUGCUACUUUCUGUCUUAUUUUAGCCUCCUAUUUGCAAAUCUGCUGGAAUCCUUUGCAUUAUGUAUCAUUGAACUGUUUCUGUGAGACUUGAGCUUGGCUGCAACUGGGAUUCCUUUACUUUUUGUUUUUAAAGUUAGUAUCCUAAAGAAAGGAAAAUAAACAUAAAGUCAGAAUUUCCUGUGGGACA